rnacentral:rRNA from 1 species
AGCAGUCGCCGCGGUAAUACCGAGGGUGCGAGCGUUAAUCGGAUUUACUGGGCGUAAAGCGUGCGUAGGCGGCUUUUUAAGUCGGAUGUGAAAUCCCUGAGCUUAACUUAGGAAUUGCAUUCGAUACUGGGAAGCUAGAGUAUGGGAGAGGAUGGUAGAAUUCCAGGUGUAGCGGUGAAAUGCGUAGAGAUCUGGAGGAAUACCGAUGGCGAAGGCAGCCAUCUGGCCUAAUACUGACGCUGAGGUACGAAAGCAUGGGGAGCAAACAGGAUUAGAUACCCCAGUAGUCCCUGUCUCUUAUAC